rnacentral:snRNA from 1 species
AUACUUACUUGGUGUAGAGGUCAACCGUGAUCACUGUGGCGGUUCCUCCAGGACGAGACUUUCCCAUUGCACUUCGGGACGGUUGACCCCUGCGAGUAUUCCUAACCGGAAUUUCUCGGACACAUAAUUUUUGGUAGUGGGACUGCGUUCGCGCUGUCCCUG